UACAGAGGGGGCAAGCGUUGUUCGGAAUUACUGGGCGUAAAGGGCGCGUAGGCGGCCGCCUAAGUCAGACGUGAAAUCCCUCGGCUUAACCGGGGAACUGCGUCUGAUACUGGAUGGCUUGAGUUCGGGAGAGGGAUGCGGAAUUCCAGGUGUAGCGGUGAAAUGCGCAGAUAUCGGGAGGAACAUCUGUGGCGAAGGCGACUGCCUGGACCAGCACUGACACUGAGGCACGAAAGCGUGGGGAGCAAACAGG
rnacentral:rRNA from 1 species